rnacentral:rRNA from 1 species
GUUGUAAAGUACUUUCGGCGAGGAGGAAGGCGUUAAGGUUAAUAACCUUGGCGAUUGACGUUACUCGCAGAAGAAGCACCGGCUAACUCCGUGCCAGCAGCCGCGGUAAUACGGAGGGUGCAAGCGUUAAUCGGAAUUACUGGGCGUAAAGCGCACGCAGGCGGUCUGUCAAGUCGGAUGUGAAAUCCCCGGGCUCAACCUGGGAACUGCAUUCGAAACUGGCAGGCUAGAGUCUUGUAGAGGGGGGUAGAAUUCCAGGUGUA